rnacentral:lncRNA from 1 species
CUCCUCUUAAUAUUACAGUCAACAAAAGGGUUCUCAUUUCUCAAUAUGAAGGAUGCUUAUACAUUUAAUAGUCCAACCACCAUAUAAAAGCUUAUAACACCAUAGCAAACUCAACUUAUUUAAUAUGAUUUGUUUAGCUAAAACUUGGAUUUAAUAAGGGUCAAACAAUAUUUUUCUAAUUGAAGCUAAUUGAAGCUAAUUGUAAGCUAUCAAACCUUUUAUUUAUUUCAAUCCUAGAACUGAAAAACACUAGAUAAUCCUUUUACCUAAUAGCAUUCUAGAUUUAUCGGAUUCCGAUUUAAUUUAAGUAAUUUCAUCGAAUUAUAGAUCCACUUAGUUACUCUAAAAUAAACUAAGUUAAGAUAAUGAAUUUGAAUUGAAUAUUAAAAGCAAAUAUAGGAUUGAGUCUUAGGGUUUUGCAACACAAAAUCGGACUAUGGUUUUAAGAUCGGUGCGAAUAGUACGUUAUUCUGCCUUCAAUGAACUUGUCGGAGUCUUGUCAAACGGUCGCCGGAUUGCCACUGCCAGCCACCAUGCACAGUGGAUGGAAAAUCGGGCCUCAUCGAAACUAAGCGAUUUUCACAUCCCUUGGCUCGAAAUUCCAUGGGGAACCCAAAUCUGAUGUCAAUUUGUUGAGUCAUUGCUUCAAUUUGCCGAAAAUAGCUCUGACAACCACUGUAUCACCACCAUUCAUGAUGGUUUCACCAUCCAAGCUUCGUCGUCAACAUUGAUGGAGGGAAAUCAUUAGUGAGGUGAUGGAGAGUCAAUCGAAGGCGUCCUUGAAGGCUGUCUUCACCGGUAAUGGCGAAAAUCGCCAGAAAAUAUGCCUCCAUGGUACCGAACAUCUUACUCACAAUUUUCUCUAGAUCCAGGCCUUUAUCACGUGAACAGUGACCACAGGCGUGCUCGUCUGGUCGAGCUCUUGAGUUUAGAGCCCUCACUUGUGGGAAACAAUGGCCGUUUGGCCAAAAAAUAGAAGGAAGAGAGGAAGGGGUAUGCCAGCUAUGCAGAGGAAAGAAGAAAGUUUUGUUGGCUUUCUCUUUCCUCAUUUGAUUGGCUUAUAACUUAUUUGGUUUAAUUCAAAGGGUUUGUGUU